rnacentral:rRNA from 1 species
CAUGUCUUUUUGAUUUUAAUUUAAGGUUUAAUCUGCUCAAUGAUUAUUUAAAUUGCCGCAGUAUUUUAACUGUGCAAAGGUAGCAUAAUAAUUAGUUUCUUGAUUAGGGGCUGGAAUGAAUGAUUUGACGAGAAAAUUACUGUCUCUUGUUAAUUGGUAGUUGAAUUUUAUUUUUAAGUUAAAAAGCUUAAAUAUUAAUAAAAGACGAGAAGACCCUAUAGAGUUUAAUAUUGAUUUAUGUUAAUUUUUAGUAAUUUAAUAAUAAUAAGAUAUUUAGUUGGGGUGACUUAAAGAUUAAAUUAAUUCUUUAAUUUAUUUAUUGUUGAUAAAUAAAUUUAUAAUCUAUAUUUUUAAAUAUAAUAUAAAUUACCUUAGGGAUAACAGCGUUAUUUUUCUUUAGAGUUCUUAUUAAAAGAAAAGAUUGCGACCUCGAUGUUGGAUUAAAAUUUAUUUUUGGAGUAGUUGCUUUAAAAUUAGGUCUGUUCGACCUUUAAAAUUUUACAUGAUCUGAGUUUAAAUCGGUGUAAGCCAGAUUGGAUUCUAUCUUUAAUAAAAUAUAUUAUUUUAGUACGAAAGGACCAAAUAUUUAUUAAAUAUUAAUUGUUAUUUUGGCAGAUUAGUGUGUUUGAUUUAGAAUCAUUUUAAGUAAUUAUUUUACAAAUAAUAUUUGAUUUUAUAUGAUUUAAUUAAGUUAACUUUAUCUUUGGUAUUACUUGUAAUUUUAAUUUUGAUUGGAGUAGCUUUUUUUACUUUGUUAG